rnacentral:rRNA from 1 species
UGGGGAAUCUUGCGCAAUGGACGAAAGUCUGACGCAGCGACGCCGCGUGGGCGACGAAGGCCUUCGGGUUGUAAAGCCCUGUGGGGCGGGACGAACACGGAGGGUUCGAACAGGACUCUUCGCUGACGGUACCGCCUUAGCAAGCACCGGCUAACUCUGUGCCAGCAGCCGCGGUAAGACAGAGGGUGCAAACGUUGCUCGGAAUUACUGGGCGUAAAGCGCGUGUAGGCGGUGCGGCACGUCCGAUGUGAAAGCCCGGGGCUCAACCCCGGACGUGCAUUGGAUACGACCGUGCUGGAGUCCUGAAGAGGAGGGCGGAAUUCCCGGUGUAGAGGUGAAAUUCGUAGAUAUCGGGAGGAACACCAGUGGCGAAGGCGGCUCUCUGGACAGGUACUGACGCUGAGACGCGAAAGCGUGGGUAGCAAACAGG